AGAACGAACGCUGGCGGCAUGCCUAAUACAUGCAAGUCGAACGAACUCUUCGGAGUUAGUGGCGCACGGGUGCGUAACGCGUGGGAAUCUGCCCUUGGGUUCGGAAUAACAGUUGGAAACGACUGCUAAUACCGGAUGAUGACGAAAGUCCAAAGAUUUAUCGCCCAGGGAUGAGCCCGCGUAGGAUUAGCUAGUUGGUGAGGUAAAGGCUCACCAAGGCGACGAUCCUUAGCUGGUCUGAGAGGAUGAUCAGCCACACGUGGGACUGACGACACGGCCCAGACUCCGUACGGGAGCAGCAGUAGGAUAUGACAGUGGCAAGCCUGAUCCAGCAAUGCCGCGUAGAGUGAGU
rnacentral:rRNA from 1 species